UACGUAGGGGGCAAGCGUUGUCCGGAAUCAUUGGGCGUAAAGCGCGUGUAGGCGGUUCGGUAAGUCUGCUGUGAAAGUCCAGGGCUCAACCCUGGAAAGCGGGUGGAUACUGCCGGGCUAGAAUCCGGAAGAGGCGAGUGGAAUUCCUGGUGUAGCGGUGGAAUGCGCAGAUAUCAGGAGGAACACCAAUAGCGAAGGCAGCUCGCUGGGACGGUAUUGACGCUAAGGCGCGAAAGCGUGGGGAGCAAACAGG
rnacentral:rRNA from 1 species